rnacentral:rRNA from 1 species
CCUACGGGUGGCAGCAGUGAGGAAUAUUGGUCAAUGGACGCAAGUCUGAACCAGCCAUGCCGCGUGCAGGAAGACGGCUCUAUGAGUUGUAAACUGCUUUUGUACGAGGAUAAACGCAGAUACGCGUAUCUGUCUGAAAGUAUCGUACGAAUAAGGAUCGGCUAACUCCGUGCCAGCAGCCGCGGUAAUACGGAGGAUUCAAGCGUUAUCCGGAUUUAUUGGGUUUAAAGGGUGCGUAGGCGGUCGGAUAAGUUAGAGGUGAAAUCCCGAGGCUCAACGUCGGGAUUGCCUCUGAUACUGUUCGGCUAGAGAGGAGUUGAGGUAGGCGGAAUGUAUGGUGUAGCGGUGAAAUGCUUAGAGAUCAUACAGAACACCGAUUGCGAAGGCAGCUUACCAAGCUACUUCUGACGUUGAGGCACGAAAGCGUGGGGAGCGAACAGGAUUAGAUACCCCAGUAGUC